rnacentral:rRNA from 1 species
CCAGACUCCUACGGGAGGCAGCAGUGAGGAAUAUUGGUCAAUGGCCGGAAGGCUGAACCAGCCAAGUCGCGUGAGGGAAUAAGGCCCUAUGGGUCGUAAACCUCUUUUGUCAGGGAGCAAAGGCGUCCACGUGUGGACGAGAGGAGAGUACCUGAAUAAGAAGCACCGGCUAAAUACGUGCCAGCAGCCGCGGUAAUACGUAUGGUGCAAGCGUUAUCCGGAUUUACUGGGCGUAAAGGGAGCGCAGGCGGCGCGCCAAGUCUGAUGUGAAACCCCGGGGCUCAACCCCGGGCAUGCAUUGGAAACUGGCGGGCUGGAGUGCCGGAGAGGUAAGCGGAAUUCCUAGUGUAGCGGUGAAAUGCGUAGAUAUUAGGAGGAACACCAGUGGCGAAGGCGGCUUACUGGACGGCAACUGACGCUGAGGCUCGAAAGCGUGGGGAGCAAACAGGAUUAGAUACCCGGGUAG